ensembl:lncRNA
AGAAAGAGAGAGAGAGACUGCAGAGAGAGAAGGCAAAGAGAGACAGGAGAGAGAGAGAGAAAGAAAGAAAGCAGAGAGAGAAGGCAAAGAGAGAGAGAAGGCAGAGAGAGAAAGGCAGAGAGAGAGAGAGAGAGAGAGAGAGAGAGAGAGAGAGAGAAGGCAGAGAGAGAGAGAGAGAAGGCAGAGAGAGAGAGAAGGCAGAGAGAGAGAGAGAGAGAGAGAGAAGGCAGAGAGAGAGAGAAGGCAGAGAGAGAGAGAAGGCAAAGAGAGAGAGAAGGCAGAGAGAGAGAGAGAGAGAAGGCAGAGAGAGAGAGAAGGCAGAGAGAGAGAGAGAGAGAGAGAAGAAGGCAGAGAGAGAGAGAAGGCAGAGAGAGAGAGAAGGCAAAGAGAGAGAGAAGGCAGAGAGAGAGAGAGAGAAGGCAGAGAGAGAGAGAAGGCAGAGAGAGAGAGAGAGAGAAGGCAGAGAGAGAGAGAAGGCAGACAGAGACAGAGAGAGAGAGAAGGCAGAGAGAGAGACAGACAGAGACAGAAAGAGAGAGAGGAGUUGAAGGGACAGAGAGAGCGAGAGAGAAAGAGAGAGGAGUUGAAGGGACAGAGAGAGAGGGAGAGAGAGAGAGGAGUUGAAGGGACACAGAGAGAGAGAGAGAAGGCAGAGAGAGAGGCAGAGAGAGAGAGAGACAGAGAGAGACAGAGACAGAUAGAGAGAGAGGAGUUGAAGGGACAGAGAGAGAGAGACUUGCUUUGGCAAUGUUAACACAUGUUUCCCAUGCCAAUAAAGCCCUUGAAUUGAAUUCAAAUUGAAUUGAGAGAG